CACGGGGGGAGCAAGCGUUGUUCGGAAUCACUGGGCGUAAAGGGCGUGUAGGCGGUUGGAUAAGUGGAAUGUGAAAUGCCUCGGCUCACCCGAGGAUCUGCAUCCCAAACUGUCCGACUUGAGUAUGGGAGAGGAUGAGGGAAUUCCUGGUGUAGCGGUGAAAUGCGUAGAUAUCAGGAGGAACACCGGUGGCGAAGGCGCUCAUCUGGCCCAAUACUGACGCUGAGGCGCGAAAGCUAGGGGAGCAAACGGG
rnacentral:rRNA from 1 species